CGGAUUCACGUUACACUAGAAUCUGGCGGUUAGCUUCCUCCCUCCAGUUGUAGGAAAGUUUGUUUCAUGUAAAUACUCCCCUUUGUAGGUAAGGCUGAACUGAAGUGAGUUAUCCUCCCUGCCAAGAAAGAGAAAUCUGACGAAAAAGCGGAUGAUGUCUUCUACGAUGGCUUCACUCAAAAUGUCUUUUAAAGAACAAGACAAAGGAUAAAGGCCAGAUCAACCGAUAGUAAGGAAGCGACCCGCGUCUUGUCUGGUAUUCUGCCAGAGCACGGCGCCGGAGGACACAACGCAAUGCCUGCUGCCUGAUAAAUCGCGGGACAAAUCAACAGAGCUCAGCUCGUGUCACGAUAAGAGACAGCUUUGUGAAAACCAGAGGUCUGGAGUUUGGUCAGCGGAGGCCAGGCGAGCGAGGCCUCUCAUUGGUCGGAGAGCAGCAGCAGGAGCAGCCAUCCGAGGCCCAGCAGCGGGGACAGGCGGA